rnacentral:rRNA from 1 species
CUAGAGAGUAGUUGCGGUAGGCGGAAUGUAUGGUGUAGCGGUGAAAUGCUUAGAGAUCAUACAGAACACCGAUUGCGAAGGCAGCUUACCAAACUAUAUCUGACGUUGAGGCACGAAAGCGUGGGGAGCAAACAGGAUUAGAUACCCUGGUAGUCCACGCAGUAAACGAUGAUAACUCGCUGUCGGCGAUACACAGUCGGUGGCUAAGCGAAAGCGAUAAGUUAUCCACCUGGGGAGUACGUUCGCAAGAAUGAAACUCAAAGGAAUUGACGGGGGCCCGCACAAGCGGAGGAACAUGUGGUUUAAUUCGAUGAUACGCGAGGAACCUUACCCGGGCUUGAAAGUUAGCGACGAUUCUUGAAAGAGGAUUUCCCUUCGGGGCGCGAAACUAGGUGCUGCAUGGUUGUCGUCAGCUCGUGCCGUGAGGUGUCGGGUUAAGUCCCAUAACGAGCGCAACCCCUACCGUUAGUUGCCAUCAGGUGAAGCUGGGCACUCUGGCGGGACUGCCGGUGUAAGCCGAGAGGAAGGUGGGGAUGACGUCAAAUCAGCACGGCCCUUACGUCCGGGGCUACACACGUGUUACAAUGGUAGGUACAGAGGGUCGCUACCCCGUGAGGGGAUGCCAAUCUCGAAAGCCUAUCUCAGUUCGGAUUGGAGGCUGAAACCCGCCUCCAUGAAGUUGGAUUCGCUAGUAAUCGCGCAUCAGCCAUGGCGCGGUGAAUACGUUCCCGGGCCUUGUACACACCGCCCGUCAAGCCAUGGGAGCUGGGGGUGCCUGAAGUUCGUGACCGCAAGGAGCGACCUAGGGCAAAACCGGUGACUGGGGCUAAGUCGUAACAAGGUAGCCGUACCGGAAGGUGCGGCUG